CUCACAUGCUGAUUUGGAAUAAGAACACACUCAGCCACUCAAUAAAGCUCUUUCUUAUUAAAUUCAUAUUCAUUUUUGUAUUUGUAUAAAAUGUGACAUUGGGAGUUACCAUCCAGUAGGAAUAAAAACUGAUAAAAACAACUGUGAUGAAGCGUUUACUCAGUAAAUUCUGAUUUCUUUUAUUGGCCAUACUGUUUGCUUUUCUGUGUCACGAUAACUCGGUUUCCUGUGUUCGUUCACAUCGCGGUUCUCUUUCUCUCUUUCGUCGUCUCUCUAACUUUCUUUCUUUCGCUUCCUCUCUUUUUCCUUUAUCGAAAAGUGCUCAAAACAGAUGUGAGUCUCACGAUUUUUACUCUCAUUUGAUGUGAUCAUUUCGAAAUGGCCGGUUCAUUCACUCUUGAAAGAACAUAUUUUUGGCAUUCUUGUUGAAUUUAAUUUUUGGAAUGAAAAUUUCGUUUUUAAAUUGUGAAUUAAUCAACUGUGUGUAGAUGAACAUUUUAAAUGUUGAUACCAUGGAUAAAAUUUGUGGGCAAUUUAAACUCAUUUGAAUUGAAUUCAUGGGUGUGCUGUUGUUAAAAUUAUGUUGAAAAUACAGAGUGUCUUGUGAUCAAACGUACAAUGAUAGAAAUAAGGAGUAAAUUCAAAUCAGACACCAAUUUUGGAUGAUUCGGAACGAAUAAAGAGAUACAAAUUCAUCGGACUUUUUUUUCAUGACAUUUACGAAAGAGACCUUGAAAACGAAAUGUCACUUCAGUACAAUAAUCUCAUAAGCAAUUUUUUUAGUGUUUUCACAACUUUAUUACUCAACUAUUUAGCCGAGUUCAAUAUCAGUUAUAAAUUCCCUCAUAUUCCACUCAUUUGACGUCACAUAAGUCACAUAACAAUAUCACUCAUAGCUCUAAUAUGAAGUGAGUGCAAAGACACAGUUCAGAGUGAUAAUGAAAUGAGCGUGCGAUGUGUUGAUGCAAUAUUUAACUGUGAUAAGAACAUUGAUCCUUUUUUUCUGCCUUCAAAUUGAUAGAGUCAUUUCAGAAUAUAUAAAAUUAACUUUGUUCAAAUAUGAUCACCGUAUGUUUCGGGCUAAUUUGAAUUAAUGACAAUAUGAACUACGACACUAGGAAAAAAAGUGUUUUUGUGAUACGAAAUUUGAAUUUGAAAUAAAAAUGCUUAGUCCAGCUUUGUGUACCCAAAGAUAUAUGACUUUGUUCCAAAAAUUCAAAAAAAAAAUCAUUCCAAGACCAAUGUGAAUAUUAUUUUGGCUGUCAGUUGAUGAUCAUGGUUCAAUUUUACAUUGGGCUAUUGAACAUAAAAAAUUGAUAAUUGGACCAAGUGAGAAAUGUCAAUAAUUUCUCAAAGGACUUUGAAAUUAAUUUCAAAUAGGAAGGAGAAACAGCUGUACAUUUAGCUGUUGCGAAUGGAAAUUUUCAAAAAUGAAUGAAAAAAAAAACAAUAUUCAAAACGGUUCUGUCUGUGUAGAAAGAGUGUUUUUCAAUCUAUUUCAUUCAUCGUUUCUUUCUCCAGUUCAAACGGAGGUCGUUGAACUUCUCAUUGAGGACGAACCCAGUGCGCAAAACGUAACGAAACUUUGUAUGAAGCGCGUGCAUAAUUCUUAUGCACAUUUGUAUCCAAAUUCGUGUGCACAGUUGUGCUUCGAACUGUGCAUCUAUUUGUAUAAAAAAUAUACAUAUUUUGUAUGUGCACAAUUAUGCACAAAAACUUUGUAUGUAUUUAAAUGUAUGUACACAAUAGUUAGACACAAUUGUGCACACAAAUCAAAUGUACUACAAAUCUAUUUUAGGUCUAAAUGUGUACAAACUAUUUCAUAAAAUAGACACGCAUUGCGCACUGGGGAAGGCGAUGUACGUGAAAAAGAUAACGAUGGAUGGACAUCUCUUCGCUGCCCUGCUGAGUGGGACGGUCAUUGAACUUCCCAUGGAGGGAAGGGUCGAUAUUCAUUCUAAAGACGAUGUGGGAUACACUCCUCUUAAGGUUGCAGAGGUGGCGUAAUUUUGGAUACUUAUGAUUGGAAGGAAUAUGAUGCAAUUCAUGUCAUUAAUCAAUUAUCAUAGAGAUUUGAGCGACCUCCUUGUGACCUAAAUGAUAAUUAUCAUUUAGAUCACAAGGAGGUCGCUUGAUUCUCUUUGAUAAAGGUGCACAGAUGUGAUGUAUCCAGUUGAAUUUCUACAAUUUCCAUUCGGUUGGUCUGCAAAAUACUAAUUAUGAUAUCUCAAUGUUGCCGUUAGAAUGAAUAUCUGCUCCUUUCUCGAUGGAAAUUUGAGGGGGCGAUAUUCAUUCUAAAACCAAUGAUGAGUGUACCACAAGAUGCAGGAUUUUUCGGCUUUCAAGCUCACUGCCUGCAUAUGAGCGAAAUGGGACUUCACUGUUCAAGAUCGGAUCAUAUUCAUCUUUAUAAUCCUUUUGGCAUGUGACGUUCUUGAAUAAACCGCGAUCGAUCC